rnacentral:rRNA from 1 species
UGGGGAAUAUUGCACAAUGGGCGCAAGCCUGAUGCAGCCAUGCCGCGUGUAUGAAGAAGGCCUUCGGGUUGUAAAGUACUUUCAGCGAGGAGGAAGGCGGUAAGGUUAAUAACCUUAUCGAUUGACGUUACUCGCAGAAGAAGCACCGGCUAACUCCGUGCCAGCAGCCGCGGUAAUACGGAGGGUGCAAGCGUUAAUCGGAAUUACUGGGCGUAAAGCGCACGUAGGCGGUCUGUCAAGUCGGAUGUGAAAUCCCCGGGCUCAACCUGGGAACUGCAUUCGAAACUGGCAGGCUAGAGUCUUGUAGAGGGGGGUAGAAUUCCAGGUGUAGCGGUGAAAUGCGUAGAGAUCUGGAGGAAUACCGGUGGCGAAGGCGGCCCCCUGGACAAAGACUGACGCUCAGGUGCGAAAGCGUGGGGAGCAAACA